GAUAAUGGACAUGGUGAGCAACC
rnacentral:piRNA from 1 species